UCAGUUUUUGCUCGACUAGACUAGCACACUAGGUUCCCUAAAGAGUGACUUGUUCUGUUCUAGAUGAUUCUGCAACCCAGCCUAGUGAUGUAACUUACGCACAAGUUACGACUACUAUAAAGAAGCCCAGAGGAAAUGUAGCAAGUUCACAUGAUGUCACAUAUUCUGAAAUUGCCAUGAAAAACAUGAAACAUCAAAAUAAAGAUCCAGGUGAACCCAGUGAUGUGACAUAUGCUGAAAUUGAUCUGAAACCCAAGGAGAAGAAAGCAUCUAAAGGUGAGAUUAAAAGAAUAAAUUAUAAGAUGAAUUCCUUUCAAAACAUGACAUUCUGAAAACUCAACUUUAAC
rnacentral:lncRNA from 1 species